rnacentral:rRNA from 1 species
GACGAACCGAGCGAACGUUAUUCGGAAUCACUGGGCUUAAAGGGCGCGUAGGCGGGCCGCCAAGUCAGGGGUGAAAGCCCCCAGCUCAACUGGGGAAGUGCCUUUGAUACUGGCGGUCUCGAGGGGGAUAGGGGCGUGCGGAACUUCCGGUGGAGCGGUGAAAUGCGUAGAUAUCGGAAGGAACACCGGUGGCGAAAGCGGCGCGCUGGAUCACUUCUGACGCUGAGGCGCGAAAGCCAGGGGAGCGAACGGG